rnacentral:RNase_P_RNA from 1 species
GACGACCGCUGCGUUGCCGCUUUCGGGCGGGGACGGGGAGGAAAGUCCGAACUCCAGAGGGCAGUGCGCCGGGUAACCCCCGGUCAGGGUGACCUGAAGGAAAGUGGCACAGAAAAUAUACCGCCUGUCUACGCGAGUAGGCAGGUAAGGGUGAAAAGGUGCGGUAAGAGCGCACCGCGUUCGCCGUAAGGCGAAUGGCAGGCUAAACCCCGCACGGAGCAAGACCAAAUAGGGAGGCGCUGUAGGGCAGCCCGUCCGAAGCCUCCGGGUAGGUCGCUGGAUCCUGUCAGUGAUGACGGGACUAGAGGAAUGGUCGUCGCCUGGUCGCGGUCCCUCUGGGGUCACGGCCGGGAACAGAAUUCGGCUUAUCGUCUCUCU